rnacentral:rRNA from 1 species
AGGACUGCCUGAUGGAGGGGGAUAACUACUGGAAACGGUAGCUAAUACCGCAUAACGUCGCAAGACCAAAGAGGGGGACCUUCGGGCCUCUUGCCAUCGGAUGUGCCCAGAUGGGAUUAGCUAGUAGGUGGGGUAACGGCUCACCUAGGCGACGAUCCCUAGCUGGUCUGAGAGGAUGACCAGCCACACUGGAACUGAGACACGGUCCAG